rnacentral:rRNA from 1 species
UAGGGAAUAUUGGGCAAUGGAGGCAACUCUGACCCAGCCAUGCCGCGUGAAGGAAUACAGCCCUACGGGUUUUAAACUUCUUUUAUUAUAGAGUAACCGGAGGUACGUGUACCUCCCUGCAAGUAUAUAAUGAAUAAGGAUCGGCUAACUCCGUGCCAGCAGCCGCGGUAAUACGGAGGAUCCGAGCGUUAUCCGGAUUUAUUGGGUUUAAAGGGUGCGCAGGCUGAUCGAUAAGUCAGGGGUGAAAAAUUUCAGCUUAACUGGAAUCGUGCCUUUGAUACUGUCGGACUAGAGUGUAACUGACGUGACUGGAAUGUGCCGUGUAGCGGUGAAAUGCUUAGAUAUGUCACAGAACGCCAAUCGUGAAGACAGGUCACGAAGUUACUACUGACGCUCAUGCACGAAAGCGUGGGGAUCAAACAGG